AACCAUUAAAAAAAUAAAAAUAUAUAAUGACAAUUAUAGGAAUUUUGUCUUUAUUGAUAAACUAUCGAGAGAGGAAGAUGCUAUUCGUUGUUGAUGCCACUUCACACAUUAAUUUCGAACCAAAAGUAUAUUUGGGUUUGAGAACAUGUUUGGUUGAAAAAUUCAGUUAUCAAUCUUGCUGAGUGCUGUCCGCCUAAAUAUUUCAAUAAGUGCCAUCGGUCUUGCUAUUUUUAUUAUUUUAUUCAUAAUCAACGAGACACAAUGAUGCUUAUUAGAUUUCUUAUCAUACUUGAUUAGUUUUCUUAUUUUCUAAAGUAUAUUAUUCUUUUCUUUCUAGUUUAGGACUUUAUUUUCCUUCUUUUUAAGAUAAUUACUAUUAAUAUAAAUAGUCAUCUCUUAUAUCAUUUGAAGGUAGAUUUAAAUUUAAUAAUACUUUCAGUUUUCAGAGUUCUGUAUGUCUUUGAAAGCAGUCCUCUUCUUUUUGAAAUAUGAGUGGAGUAGACGUUCUUCGAAUAUUAGAUAGGGUAAAAAUCUGGAUUGUAUUAUAUAAGAUUUAUAAAUUAGUCCUAGUAGUGGACGUCCCUCGAAUAUUAGAUAGGGUAAAAAUAUGAAUUGUAUUAUAUAAAAAUUGUAAAUUAGUUUCAGUAUUUGUCUGAUUGUAAAUAUCAAUAUACUAAUCUCAUUAAAUAUGAGUUGUAAUUUAAGUAAUAGUCUCGUAUAAUUAAAAAAAAAAAAAGUGAUGAGCUAUUGUAAAUAUCAAAUUUGUGACUUUACUUUUUUUUUUGAAUGGAAAAUUGUGACAUUACUUUGAAAAUGUAGUAGGCAUGGUGGACUCUUGGGCCUGACGUAUGACCCAAUGUUUUUCAGACGUGGGCCUUUUGGGACUCACGAGUGAGCCUUAUAACUUUUGCAGCACUAGUGAGUUGGUCUUUGAAGGAUUGGCAAAUGGCAAGGGACCUUUAUGGUUGAAGUCCAUGUGUUUGUCUGUUGUUGCCUGUCAUGCGAGGUGACCCUCUCCUUUAGGGAAAAUGAUCAUUUCCUGAUCUGAUUUUUUUUUAAUUUUUUAAGAUUUUUUGUUAUGUGUCUUUUAGUGGUAGUGUAUGGG
rnacentral:lncRNA from 1 species